rnacentral:snRNA from 1 species
GGAUGUGAGGGCUAUCUGGCUGCGACAUCUGUCACCCCAUUGAUCGCCAGUGUUGAUUUGGCUGAUCUGGCUGGCUAGGUGAGUGUCCCCUUCCUCCUUCACUGCUUCAUGUGUGUCCCUCCCAAAGCUGCACGCUUGGUCGAAGGGGACGAGCUUCCCGGAAUAGAGGAGGAUUGGGCUUCGGCCAGGUGGAUACAAGUAGCUGUGCUCCCCUGCUAGAACCCCCCCCCAAAAUAUUUAUAUGUAUGUUUGCCUGCAUGAGUUAUGUGCACCAUGUGCAUGCAGGAGCCCACAGAGGCCAGAAGAGGGCAUGGGAUCCCCU